rnacentral:lncRNA from 1 species
AAAGGCUUUGUCUGGCAUGCUUAAAGCCUUGGGUUCCCAUCUCAAUUCACAGAAUAAAAGUCAACUGGUUAAAUGGAUUAGACCCAUAUCUUCACUUUCCUAAGGUCUCAUCCUAUCAGUUAUUCUGGAACCCCAGUAUUGUCACUUUGACAUGUUUUGUACAAUGUACAAGAAUAUGCCUGAAUAGUUUUGAUAUCUAUCUAUCUAUCUAUCUAUCUAUCUAUCUAUCUAUCUCUUGGUUCAGCAGGUCUCAUUCUGAGAAAACUCACUAAAUACUCACUAAAUAAAGGUAAUACUUUUCUUUGUGUUGUUUCAGUGUGGCCAGAGAAGGUUAAUUUUUUUUUUAAAGAGGUUUCUAAAGUCUGAGGUUUCUAUCAUUUUGAGCAGUUGUAAUAGGAAAUAGCAUUGAUUCUUGGGUACUGAAUAUCCGAUAAUCAUAAUAAAAGAUCAACUUUUAAUCAAUUGAUGAAUACUUGAUUGGAUUGUUUCAUUUUUCUGUCAUUAAUGCUGUUAAUUUUUAUACAUGAGGUGUUCUGGUUUUGUAUAAAUGUGCUUCUUUUCUCUUUUAGAUGUAUACAUGUAAGGAUAGAUAGAACCAUGGAUUUUGUAGUACUGGUAUUUUAAGUAGUUUCCAGGGAACUGCCAGACAGUUGUCCAAAAAGUGUUAUGUAGCCAAGACUGGCUUUGAUCUCCUUAUAUAACUCAAGCUAGUCUCAAAGUCACUAUCCUAUGGUUUUCUGGUUGCUAGAAUUAGUGGUUUGUGUCAUCACACCCAGCUAGUAGUUGUGUUGAUGGUGGAUACUGUCUCUCAGUGUUGUCAUGUGACACACCAGUUUCUGUGCGCCUUGAGUGCAUGCCUGAAUGCAUGGUGUGGUCAAAAUAUAUGUUGAACUUUAUAUUUUCUGUGCGAGUUUACUCGUUUUCCUCUUUUAAUUUUGUGCACAUGUGUGUGCUUAUUCAAUUUUUUAUUUUGUAGACAUUUGUGCCAUCAGAAUUGUUUUUAUUGAGGGUACAGAACAGGCACAUUAAGAGAGUAGUGUUU